rnacentral:rRNA from 1 species
UACGUAGGGACCAAGCGUUGUUCGGAUUUACUGGGCGUAAAGCGCGUGUAGGCUGCUCGGAAAGUCGGAUGUGAAAGCCCUGGGCUCAACCUAGGAAGUGCAUUCGAAACUUCUGAGCUGGAGUGCUGGAGAGGAAGGCGGAAUUCUCGGUGUAGAGGUGAAAUUCGUAGAUAUCGAGAGGAACACCGGUGGCGAAGGCGGCCUUCUGGACAGCAACUGACGCUGAGACGCGAAAGCGUGGGGAGCAAACAGG